rnacentral:rRNA from 1 species
AUUGAACGCUGGCGGCAGGCCUAACACAUGCAAGUCGAACGAGUCGCGGACGGGUGAGUAAUGUCUGGGAAACUGCCUGAUGGAGGGGGAUAACUACUGGAAACGGUAGCCAAUACCGCAUACAAUCAGAUGUGCCCAGAUGGGAUUAGCGAGUGGGUGGGGUAACGGCUCACAAAGGCGACGAUCUCUACCUGGUCUGAGAGGAUGACCCGCCACACUGGCACUGAGACACGGUCCGAACUCCUACGGGAGGCAGCAGUGGGGAAUAUUGCACAAUGGGCGCAAGCCUGAUGCAGCCAUGCCGCGUGUGUGAAGAAGGCCUUCGGAUUGUAAAGUACUUUCAGCUGGGAGGCGUUACCCGCAGAAGAAGCACAGGCUAACUCCGUGCCAGCAGCCGCGGUAAUAC